UAACACGUGAGUAACCUGCCCCUGACUCUGGGAUAAGCGUUGGAAACGACGUCUAAUACUGGAUAUGAUCACUGGCCGCAUGGUCUGGUGGUGGAAAGAUUUUUUGGUUGGGGAUGGACUCGCGGCCUAUCAGCUUGUUGGUGAGGUAAUGGCUCACCAAGGCGACGACGGGUAGCCGGCCUGAGAGGGUGACCGGCCACACUGGGACUGAGACACGGCCCAGACUCCUACGGGAGGCAGCAGUGGGGAAUAUUGCACAAUGGGCGAAAGCCUGAUGCAGCAACGCCGCGUGAGGGAUGACGGCCUUCGGGUUGUAAACCUCUUUUAGUAGGGAAGAAGCGAAAGUGACGGUACCUGCAGAAAAAGCACCGGCUAACUACGUGCCAGCAGCCGCGGUAAUACGUAGGGUGCAAGCGUUGUCCGGAAUUAUUGGGCGUAAAGAGCUCGUAGGCGGUUUGUCGCGUCUGCUGUGAAAUUCCGAGGCUCAACCUCGGGCUUGCAGUGGGUACGGGCAGACUAGAGUGCGGUAGGGGAGAUUGGAAUUCCUGGUGUAGCGGUGGAAUGCGCAGAUAUCAGGAGGAACACCGAUGGCGAAGGCAGAUCUCUGGGCCGUAACUGACGCUGAGGAGCGAAAGCGUGGGGAGCGAACAGGAUUAGAUACCCUGGUAGUCCACGCCGUAAACGUUGGGCGCUAGAUGUAGGGACCUUUCCACGGUUUCUGUGUCGUAGCUAACGCAUUAAGCGCCCCGCCUGGGGAGUACGGCCGCAAGGCUAAAACUCAAAGGAAUUGACGGGGGCCCGCACAAGCGGCGGAGCAUGCGGAUUAAUUCGAUGCAACGCGAAGAACCUUACCAAGGCUUGACAUACACCGGAAACGGCCAGAGAUGGUCGCCCCCUUGUGGUCGGUGUACAGGUGGUGCAUGGUUGUCGUCAGCUCGUGUCGUGAGAUGUUGGGUUAAGUCCCGCAACGAGCGCAACCCUCGUUCUAUGUUGCCAGCGCGUUAUGGCGGGGACUCAUAGGAGACUGCCGGGGUCAACUCGGAGGAAGGUGGGGAUGACGUCAAAUCAUCAUGCCCCUUAUGUCUUGGGCUUCACGCAUGCUACAAUGGCCGGUACAAAGGGCUGCGAUACCGUAAGGUGGAGCGAAUCCCAAAAAGCCGGUCUCAGUUCGGAUUGAGGUCUGCAACUCGACCUCAUGAAGUCGGAGUCGCUAGUAAUCGCAGAUCAGCAACGCUGCGGUGAAUACGUUCCCGGGCCUUGUACACACCGCCCGUCAAGUCAUGAAAGUCGGUAACACCCGAAGCCGGUGGCCUAACCC
rnacentral:rRNA from 1 species